rnacentral:lncRNA from 1 species
CUUCCUCACUCUAUGGCAAUAGACUAACAGAAGAGAGCUCUCUGGUAAUUCAUGAAGAAUAUUGGAUAAAUAGUAGGUUUGUUUAAGUCUGUACACUGACAGCAUCAACUAAUAAUGUUGCAGAGACAUUCUAGUUUACAAAAUUGGAAGUAGAAAAGAGAUUUCAAAUCAUUUUAUAUAACCAUUCUUUCAUGCAUUCUAAGUUUCUCAUUUUUUUUCAGUCCAUUUUUGAAGCUCUUCUACAGGUUCAUUUUGGACUUGACAUCCCGUCAUAUUUCUCUGAGGCUUUGCACUUUUUCAUUUUUGUAUUGCUAUCCUCUUCUGAUGUUCUAUUUUAUCCAGAUAACUCUCUUGUUAGUAUUUUUUCUAGUGUCAUGAAUUUUCUUUGUAUUUUGCACAUUCUGUGGGUUAUAUUUCCCCUUGAUUUUGUCUAUUUCUUAAAGCUUACCUCCAUUCCUCUGGUGAAGAGUACUGCCCUGCACUUGGACCUAGUCUGGAAUCAGCCAUCUCAGACUGAACUCUCUUCACAGAACAGAGCACCACUGGCCAAGAGAUUCAAAUUAUUCAAACUCCAGGAAAGUUGUAUUUAAUUUCCCAUCUGACCCCAAGACUUUCAGUUCCAAGAGUAUUUAUUAGCUUUCUUUCUUUAACUAAAGAGAGAUGUGUAUAUUAAGAUGUCAAUAGCAGUCAUACAAUAGUGUUUAUAUUUUGUUCUAGUUUUCCAGGAUUUUGAAGCCCAAACUCUUUUAAUCUUUAUAUUUUUCCUUUGCCUUGGUAAUAACCAAAGUGUUGGAAACAAUCAUUGCUCUUUCAAUGGUCCACUAAUCAUAACACACUCCUAUUAACCUAUACAUUUUUGUUUUACUUUUGAAAACUGGUUUUCUUUUGAGACCAAAAUAAGAUACUAGAAAUAGCAAAAGCCAGACAAUUUUAUACAUCAGUGACAUCAAUCACUGGGGAAUGCAAAUUCCUCCAACUUCCUUCCUAAGAGAAAAGUCUAAGCGCUUUUUCAGAUCGCCACUGAAAAAGGAUAAUGAUGACACCUUCCUUUCAGGGAGGGUGAUUGGAGGUAGAAUCGUAUUCAGCUAUUAUAAUCAUGAUUCUCAACAAGAUGAUCUUCUUAAAACUAAUGGCUCAAGCAAACAUUAGACAUAUGGUUUUAACAAGCUGCUUCAUUGCCUAAGCUAAGAGCAGUGCACAAAAACAGCUUCAAGGAAGUAUGCCAUGAGAGAGAUGAAGGACAAAACAAGCAUUAGUUUCCAACUGCUCAUUACCCUUUCCUGCUGACCACCCUACAUACACAGAACCAGACACACAGACUUCUAGACACAGAAACAUGCACAGAUAGAACGACAAAUCUAAACUUGGCAUUUUUUAAUGAAGUAACUCAUUUGCGAACAGAUUGGGUGUUUCAAGUGAACAUUUCUCAUUGCUACUAAUUUCUCUUCAUUUGAACUAAAACUAUGAUCAUUGUUUAGAAGAUUAUUCUAUGGAUCUGAAUCAACAUUCUCAAGGUUAUUGAUUAAUAAUAACCAGUACGCUGAGCAUGGGUGAUCACUUCUUUUUGAAAAUUAUUUUCAUCUCUCAAAUUUUGGGAUCAAGAAUCCUCCUCACUCCUAGCCAAGGAUGAAUUUUUUACAUUUUAUUUUGAUUUUUAGCUUUUUUAUUUUUAAAUAUUUUCCAUGUUUACAUGAUUCAUUUUCUUUUCCUCCCCUCUUCCCUCCUCAUUUCUGCUGACAAGCAAUUCCACUGGGUUAUACAACUGUUUUCAUCUGAUACCUAUGUCCAUAUUAUUAAUUUUUGUAAUAGAGUAAUCUUUUAAGACCAGAACUCCAAAUCAUAUGCCCAUAUAAACAAGUGAUAAGACAUAUGUUUUUCUUCUAUGUUUCCACUCCCACAGUUCUUUCUCCGGAUGUAGAUAACAUUCUUUCUUACAACUCCCUUGGGAUUACCCUUAGCAAGAAUAUUUAAAUGGGUUAGGGGUAGAUUAUUUAUUCAGUACUUUUGCAAAUCUUUCAUUUUUCACUAUUGGGAAAUUAAAUAUUUUAGUAUGACCAUAUAAAAGUUAAUUAUUUCUCUGGACCUCAGUUGCCUGAACUGUAAAAUGAUAGGGUACUGCAUUCGAUGAUCAUUAUGAUCACUUUUAGCUCUAAAUCCUGAGUCUGUGAAAUAAUUUUUAAAUGUCUUUGACACAUUUGUAUUGAAAUAUGCCAAGUUGUUCAGCUAGUACCAGGAGAUAAACCUAGCUUCAUCCUAGUGUCCAGUUGAAGUCACUGUUCUUCUUUUGAUAGGCUAAAUAUCUUAGAUAUUUCAAGUACUUCAACAAACAUUUAAUUAGUAAUGGAAUUAACUGCGUCAGCAGCAGCCCCAGUCAAGAAGGGACAUUAAUUUUUUUUAAUUAAUUGUUCUAUCUAGUUGCUUCUGUAAUAAAACAAAGAUGCCUAUUAUAUAUUUUAAAAUA